GCGGAAGGUGAUCUACUCAAAAAUGAAAUAACUGGAUAAAUAUUUUGUGGGCUCCACAGUGCAAUCCUUUAGCUAUUUGUUCUCCACUCAACCACUCCCAAGAAGACAUUACAACAAAGGGUAGCAGAUUGUAAGGAACUAAGCUGCAGAAGAGAAGCAGGUACAGGGGAGUUGAUGUUUAAUUAGGAACGGACAUGCAACAGGACAGGAACAGCGUCAGAACUUGGAAACACAAAGACAGAUGACAAUCAAUGCAGCAGCGGGGACCAGAGCUGGGUAACUGACAAAUACAGGGGAGGUAAUAAACAGGUGAUUGAAUCCAGGUGAGUCCAAUAUCGCUGAUGCGUGUGACGAGGGAAGGCAGGUGUGUGUAAUGAUGGUGGCGGGAGUGCGUAAUGCAGGGCAGCCUGGCGCCCUUGAGUGCCUGGGGGGAAGAGCGGGAGCAGGCGUAAAGGCAGACAGUACAUGUACAUUUGUUUAAAUUCGACCCAUGAUUGUUAUGUUUCUUGCUGCUUAAUCUCUCAAAUAUAAAUUGAAAUCACAAUGCACUAUGUGUCUGUCCACUGUAGUGAAGGCAACGGAUGAAGUGAGGACAAUGUAGUGGCCUACUACCUGUCUGAGUUCAAAGUACCGAUUGGUCAGGAUUCUGCAGUGAAACUCUUGGCUCCAUGGAUCCGCUAGAGCGAAGUCAGCAGGGGAGGAUGGGCAUGGGGAUGGGCCGCUGGCCAACCAGCUCCCUGCUCAUCAACAAUGUAAUGUCUACUUGGCGUGGAGGCUACAUGCUGAUCGAGGCUACAAGGUCCAACUGGAGUUUGACACCUUCAACUUGGAGGAUGACUGUCAGAACGACUUCAUCAAUGUGUAUGACUCCCUGGUGCCAAUGGCAGAGAAAUGUGGAUAUUAUACAUGCAAUGAGCAUCUGUCGUUCAUUUCCUCUGGAAACGUCAUGCUGCUGAUGCUGGUAACCAACGAGGAGAAGAACUUCCCUGGCUUCAGAGCCACUUACUCUGAGCCUCCCCUAGAGCCAAGGUGAAGCUGGUUGCUGUGGAUAUACUAUGGAAUAAAUAUAAUUUUGUGUCCCCAAUGGUGAUGAUACUCCUUAUCCGUUUCUCUUCCUGCAUAGAUUGUGGCUGUAAACUAUCAGGACUUAAAGGCACCUUCACUUCUCCAAAUGUUCCCUCCCAUUACCCACCUCUGAGCAAGCGUGUCUGCUUCAGACGAGCUUCAAUG
rnacentral:lncRNA from 1 species